rnacentral:rRNA from 1 species
GCUACAGGCUUAACACAUGCAAGUCGAGGGGCAGCAUGGUCUUAGCUUGCUAAGGCCGAUGGCGACCGGCGCACGGGUGAGUAACACGUAUCCAACCUGCCGUCUACUCUUGGACAGCCUUCUGAAAGGAAGAUUAAUACAAGAUGGCAUCAUGAGUCCGCAUGUUCACAUGAUUAAAGGUAUUCCGGUAGACGAUGGGGAUGCGUUCCAUUAGAUAGUAGGCGGGGUAACGGCCCACCUAGUCUUCGAUGGAUAGGGGUUCUGAGAGGAAGGUCCCCCACAUUGGAACUGAGACACGGUCCAAACUCCUACGGGAGGCAGCAGUGAGGAAUAUUGGUCAAUAGGCGAGAGCCUGAACCAGCCAAGUAGCGUGAAGGAUGACUGCCUUAUGGGUUGUAAACUUCUUUUAUAAAGGAAUAAAGUCGGGUAUGGAUACCCGUUUGCAUGUACUUUAUGAAUAAGGAUCGGCUAACUCCGUGCCAGCAGCCGCGGUAAUACGGAGGAUUCGAGCGUUAUCCGGAUUUAUUGGGUUUAAAGGGAGCGUAGAUGGAUGUUUAAGUCAGUUGUGAAAGUUUGCGGCUCAACCGUAAAAUUGCAGUUGAUACUGGAUAUCUUGAGUGCAGUUGAGGCAGGCGGAAUUCGUGGUGUAGCGGUGAAAUGCUUAGAUAUCACGAAGAACUCCGAUUGCGAAGGCAGCCUGCUAAGCUGCAACUGACAUUGAGGCUCGAAAGUGUGGGUAUCAAACAGGAUUAGAUACCCUGGUAGUCCACACGGUAAACGAUGAAUACUCGCUGUUUGCGAUAUACGGCAAGCGGCCAAGCGAAAGCGUUAAGUAUUCCACCUGGGGAGUACGCCGGCAACGGUGAAACUCAAAGGAAUUGACGGGGGCCCGCACAAGCGGAGGAACAUGUGGUUUAAUUCGAUGAUACGCGAGGAACCUUACCCGGGCUUAAAUUGCAGAUGAAUUACGGUGAAAGCCGUAAGCCGCAAGGCAUCUGUGAAGGUGCUGCAUGGUUGUCGUCAGCUCGUGCCGUGAGGUGUCGGCUUAAGUGCCAUAACGAGCGCAACCCUUGUUGUCAGUUACUAACAGGUUCUGCUGAGGACUCUGACAAGACUGCCAUCGUAAGAUGUGAGGAAGGUGGGGAUGACGUCAAAUCAGCACGGCCCUUACGUCCGGGGCUACACACGUGUUACAAUGGGGGGUACAGAGGGCCGCUACCACGCGAGUGGAUGCCAAUCCCAAAAACCUCUCUCAGUUCGGACUGGGGUCUGCAACCCGACUCCACGAAGCUGGAUUCGCUAGUAAUCGCGCAUCAGCCACGGCGCGGUGAAUACGUUCCCGGGCCUUGUACACACCGCCCGUCAAGCCAUGGGAGCCGGGGGUACCUGAAGUGCGUAACCGCGAGGAGCGCCCUAGGGUAAAACUGGUGACUGGGGCU